rnacentral:tRNA from 1 species
GCCGGGGUCGCAUAAUGGUAUUGCACUGGUCUCGAAUUAUGGCGUAAAAAUUAAUGCGGGCAAACCAGCGUCCUUUGGACUUGGGAGUUCGAAUCUCUCCCCCGGCG